rnacentral:rRNA from 1 species
AUUGAACGCUGGCGGCAGGCCUAACACAUGCAAGUCGAGCGGCAGCGGGAAGUAGCUUGCUACUUUGCCGGCGAGCGGCGGACGGGUGAGUAAUGUCUGGGAAACUGCCUGAUGGAGGGGGAUAACUACUGGAAACGGUAGCUAAUACCGCAUAAUGUCGCAAGACCAAAGAGGGGGACCUUCGGGCCUCUUGCCAUCAGAUGUGCCCAGAUGGGAUUAGCUAGUAGGUGGGGUAACGGCUCACCUAGGCGACGAUCCCUAGCUGGUCUGAGGGGAUGACCAGCCACACUGGAACUGGGACACGGUCCAGAUUCCUACGGGAGGCAGCAGUGGGGAAUAUUGCACAAUGGGCGCAAGCCUGAUGCAGCCAUGCCGCGUGUAUGAAGAAGGCCUUCGGGUUGUAAAGUACUUUCAGCGGGGAGGAAGGUGUUGAGGUUAAUAACCUCAGCAAUUGACGUUACCCGCAGAAGAAGCACCGGCUAACUCCGUGCCAGCAGCCGCCGUAAAAC